rnacentral:rRNA from 1 species
UGGGGAAUUUUGGACAAUGGCGAAAGCCUGAUCCAGCAAUGCCGCGUGUGUGAAGAAGGCCUUCGGGUUGUAAAGCACUUUUGUCCGGAAAGAAAUCCUUGGCUCUAAUACAGUCGGGGGAUGACGGUACCGGAAGAAUAAGCACCGGCUAACUACGUGCCAGCAGCCGCGGUAAUACGUAGGGUGCAAGCGUUAAUCGGAAUUACUGGGCGUAAAGCUGCGCAGGCGGUUUUGCUAAGACCGAUGUGAAAUCCCCGGGCUCAACCUGGGAACUGCAUUGGUGGACUGGCAGGCUAGAGUAUGGCAGAGGGGGGUUAGAAUUCCACGUGUAGCAGUGAAAUGCGUAGAGAUGUGGAGGAAUACCGAUGGCGAAGGCAGCCCCCAUGGGCCAAUACUGACGCUCAUGCACGAAAGCGUGGGGGAGCAAACAGGAUUAGAUACCC